rnacentral:rRNA from 1 species
GACGAACGCUGGCGGCGUGCUUAACACAUGCAAGUCGAACGGAAAGGCCCUGCUUUUGUGGGGUGCUCGAGUGGCGAACGGGUGAGUAACACGUGAGUAACCUGCCCCUGACUUUGGGAUAACUUCAGGAAACUGGGGCUAAUACCGGAUAGGAGCUCCUGCUGCAUGGUGGGGGUUGGAAAGUUUCGGCGGUUGGGGAUGGACUCGCGGCUUAUCAGCUUGUUGGUGGGGUAGUGGCUUACCGAGGCUUUGACGGGUAGCCGGCCUGAGAGGGUGACCGGCCACAUUGGGACUGAGAUAUGGCCCAGACUCCUACGGGAGGCAGCAGUGGGGAAUAUUGCACAAUGGGCGGAAGCCUGAUGCAGCAACGCCGCGUGCGGGAUGACGGCCUUCGGGUUGUAAACCGCUUUCGCCUGUGACGAAGCGUGAGUGACGGUAAUGGGUAAAGAAGCACCGGCUAACUACGUG